CCUGAGUGGGCAGGAGCCCCCAGCAGCCCCCAGCUCUCCUUGCCCUCCUCACUUUGCCAGCUCCUGGAGGAGCUAUUGCUGCACUGAGGACAGAGCAAGACACCCCCUGCAACAUCCCCACUCCUGCAACCAUCCCACGCUGCUGCAGCUCUCAAACUGGUGCUGCUUUGAUGGAUUAAAACCUAGUAAUAAUUUACUGAUCCGUGAAGCCUGAUAUUUCAUCCGGGAAAUGAAAGAGACAUUCACAGGAUUAUACACUCCCACCAUCUUAUAUCAUCAGUCUUCCCUCUGGAUUUUUUUCAGGCUCCUGAUUCAGGGACAAGAUCAUCCUGUGCUAAUAAAGAUUUGAGCAGAGGAUCUUUGAAAUUAUUUGGCUAGUUACAAUGCUGUAGAAUGUCUUCUCACAAUAAUUUCUAUUCUGUAGUUUAUCUUCUGACUGUAAAUAAAAGCCAUUAAAAAGCCUUAUGAGUCA
rnacentral:lncRNA from 1 species